rnacentral:lncRNA from 1 species
GUCAAGAAAAAGAGAAAAAAAAACAUUAGAUUAGACCUAUGUGACAUAAACAAAGUAUUUCAUGGGGAAAGACUCAUAAAGUUUUAUUACCUGGGUUAGACAUAGAUAUGGCACUGCCAUUAAUUCCGUCUUCGGACAAGAAGACACUCGAUAGGCCGUCCCUCUCAGCAUGUAUGCCAGCAUUUCAUAUUUCAGGUUCAGAUUUACAAAUGGAGUAAUCAGUCCCUUCCAUUUGUCCGCUGAGCUGUGUCCACUCAUGAGCCAGCUGUUUCUCAAGCCCUCCACGUAUUUAGACGUAAACAAAUGUUGAGAUGAACGUGAAAAACAGGGUCCAGUGAAGGUUUCAAAAUAUGCAAAUGUUUUUGAUUUUAUAAAUUCUGAGAACCUUGGAGCAGGUCUGGUUGAACUGAUAGAGUCCAGGUGCGAUUUCCAAACCCCCAGCCUGGUGGUCUUUUCACCGUGGCUUCCUUCAUCUGGGGAAGGGUCUGGCUGCUGAAGAACACUUUUAUGCUUAGGAGGAAAUGGAAGAUUGUGUGUGGGGCUGAAGCUUCAGUUUAUGCUGUGAGAACACUGAGUAAUCCCCAAAGGCAAUGGGAUCCAGAGAAUCAUCAGUGAGCUGGAGACUGAGAGAACACGGAGAGCAAACGCUGCACUGCCUUGGAAUAUACAAAAGAAAACAAAGAAGCAUACUGAUCUGAAGACGGUUGGGAGUUUUGUGUUAUCUGUUCUUCUCUGCCUUCAGUAGCCCCAGAGCGACGUCUCUGAGUGAAAAUUCCGACUGAUUACCAGCCACAGCUCCACACUGGGUGACGUCCUUCAGCAAAGCAUCGCGAGUUUUCCUGCUCAUUCCCAUGCCUGAAUGGUUCCUACGCACCACUACUGGGCAGUCAGUGUUGAGGGAAGCCUGCCUUUCUCACUUUCCAAGGCCUCCUGAAUAAAGGGCGCAAGAGGCAGGCUCCUGGCUGGAAAACCAGUGCUGUUUCCAUCACACACUUCCUUCCAUUGGAGGAUGUUAUUAAGACCCAGGAAAAUGAAGGGACCAGCCAGAGAUGACACAGAUCAUGAGACUCAUCAGUGAGAGUGUGGAACCCAAACUCCCAACUCCCAAGAUGCUGUUCUUUGUCCACUUUGUCUGUACAACCCCCAGGACAUAGACACAUCUUCUGCUUUCCUUCUGGAAAUGUUGUUCCAUUUCCCUCUAAUUCCUUCUCUAUCUUUUCUUCUUUCCUCUAUUUUGUUACUUUCAUUUCCUUUAUUUUGUUCCCAUU